GACGAACGCUGGCGGCGUGCUUAACACAUGCAAGUCGAACGGGAUUUAGUAGACAGAAACCUCGGUGGAAGAUUACUAAUGAGAGUGGCGAACGGGUGAGUAACGCGUGAGCAACCUGCCUAUGACAGUGGGAUAGCCUCGGGAAACCGGGAUUAAUACCGCAUAAAAUCGUAGAAACACAUGUUUUAACGGUCAAAGAUUUAUCGGUCAUAGAUGGGCUCGCGUCUGAUUAGCUAGUUGGUGAGAUAACAGCCCACCAAGGCGACGAUCAGUAGCCGGUCUGAGAGGAUGAACGGCCACAUUGGAACUGAGACACGGUCCAA
rnacentral:rRNA from 1 species